CGUAGGGGGCAAGCGUUGUCCGGAUUUACUGGGCGUAAAGAGCGCGUAGGCGGACGUUUAAGUGUGGCCUGAAAGCCCCCGGCUCAACCGGGGGAUCCGGGUUGCAAACUGGACGUCUUGAGGGGGAUAGGGGAAGGUGGAAUUCCUGGUGUAGCGGUGAAAUGCGUAGAGAUCAGGAGGAACACCCGUGGCGAAGGCGGCCUUCUGGGUCCGCCCUGACGCUGAGGCGCGAAAGCGUGGGGAGCGAACGGGAUUAGAUACCCCGGUAGUCCACGCCGUAAACGAUGAUUACUAGGUGUGUGUGGUAUCGACCCCACACGUGCCGCAGCUAACGCAAUAAGUAAUCCGCCUGGGGAGUACGGCCGCAAGGUUG
rnacentral:rRNA from 1 species